rnacentral:rRNA from 1 species
UACGAAGGGUGCAAACGUUGCUCGGAAUUAUUGGGCGUAAAGCGCACGUAGGCGGCUCCGCAAGUUGGAUGUGAAAUCCCUCGGCUCAACCAAGGAAGUGCAUCCAAAACUGCAGAGCUUGAGUACUUAAGAGGAUCGCGGAAUUCCCGGUGUAGAGGUGAAAUUCGUAGAUAUCGGGAGGAACACCAGUGGCGAAGGCGGCGAUCUGGGAAGAUACUGACGCUGAGGUGCGAAAGCGUGGGGAGCAAACAGG